rnacentral:rRNA from 1 species
GAUGAACGCUGACAGAAUGCUUAACACAUGCAAGUCUUUGGCGAAGCUGUGCUUGCACAGCCUAGCCAAGGCGGACGGGUGAGUAACGCGUAAGGAACUUGCCCUGCAGUCAGGGAUAACAGACGGAAACGACUGAUAAGACCUGGUAAAGUCAGGCGGACUCAUGUCCAGCCUGAUGAAAAGAGAUGCUGCAGGAGAGCCUUGCGUCCUAUUAGCUUGUUGGUGGGGUAACGGCCCACCAAGGCGAUGAUAGGUAGCCGGCCUGAGAGGGUGGACGGCCACAAGGGGACUGAGAUACGGCCCUUACUCCUACGGGAGGCAGCAGUGGGGAAUAUUGUACAAUGGGGGCAACCCUGAUCCAGCAAUUCUGUGUGCACGAUGAAGGUUUUCGGAUGGUAAAGUGCUUUCAGCAGGGAAGAAAAAAUGACGGUACCUGCAGAAGAAGCGACGGCUAAAUACGUG